UCCCUUGUGGUCCAGCGGCUAAGACUCUGCACUCCCAAUGCAGAGAGCUCAGGUUCGAUUCCUGGUCAGAGAA
rnacentral:tRNA from 1 species